rnacentral:rRNA from 1 species
AUUGAACGCUGGCGGCAGGCCUAACACAUGCAAGUCGAGCGAGCGGCGGACGGGUGAGUAAUGUAUGGGGACUGCCCGCUAGAGGGGGAUAACUACUGGAAACGGUGGCUAAUACCGCAUACUAUCGGAUAACCCAUAUGGGAUUAGCUAGUAGGUGGGGUAAAGGCUCACCUAGGCGACGAUCUCUAGCUGGUCUGUGAGGAUGUUCAGCCACUCUGGGACUGAGACAGGGCGCAUACGACUACGGAGGCAGUAGUGAGGAAUAUUGCACAAGGAGCGAAAGCCUGAGGCAGCCAUGCCGCGUGUGUGAAGAAGGCCUUAGGGGAGUAAAGUACUUUCAGCGGGGAGGCGUUACCCGCAGAAGAAGCGCCGGCUAACUCCGUGCGAGCAACCGCGGUAAUUC